AUGCUUGCAGUGCUACGUGAAAAUCUCCGAGAAAACAGGUACUUCGCAAUUUUGCUGUUUAUAAGUUUGGAGAGACGGGUGCAAAUGAGUGCAAGUUCAAAUACUUUGGAAAAUCAAGAGCAUUGUAGCGUAUGCAAUCAAGUGGUAAAAAAAGAACAAAUACACAGCUUGUCACAAUGUCAAUCGUGCAAAAUAACAAUUUGCAGCAUGGGUGUGAAUCAAUGUCCACAUUGUGAUUCAUCUAUUUGUGACAUGUGUGAAUACCGAUGUAAAUACUGCGGAAUAAUGAUUUGCAACUGCUGUAAAAUAUAUGUAAAUGUAUGUGACGUAUGCUCUUGGAAUGAAGAUAACAGUGACUAAAGAUUCACAAAAUUUAACCUUCAAAAAACUGAAUGCGAAACAGAAUAUAUGUUGUCACCACUGCUAUAAUAAUUUUUCCUCGAUUUUCAAAUUUACAAUGGAGUCACUAUUUUUCUGAAACCUAACCUAAGUAAAAGUGUGCUGGUCUGACGUCAGCCUGACUCAGUCUGACUCAGGUUGACGACAAACUGACGACAAGCAACCUAGGCUGACAUUGGAUUCAAGCCUGAAUGAUCGACAGGCUGACGCUACCCUGCUCCUGACAUGUUCGCGACACAGAGACGGUAGGUGAGAGCCUUCAAAUCUUGAAUAUAUGCAACCCGUGCGGCAAAACUGACAUUUACAGUGUUGCACAAGUGAAAAAUUGUAAAUUUCUGUGAAAUAUGUAAUAAAAUCUUACACUGCUGCGAAAACUAAGAAACUGUAAAAGAAGGAACGGAGAGGCAGAAGGGGCAAAUUAGGAAGAAGAGAUGCUGUAAAGACAGAGGACGGAUAAAAGAGGAUUCCAACAAAGAAAGAGAAAUUCUUCUUGUUGUUCUCAAAUUCAUUCCAUUAUUCUUAUUACUUCUAGUUUUCUCUCCCUUUUUCUUCCCUCUACCUCCUCUCCUUCUUCUUAAUUUUAUUCUUUAAUUAUUUUUGUCCCUCUUCUUCUUCCCUUUCUUUUUUAUUUUUCAUUCGUUCUUUAAUACAUUGACCAAUCGUUCAUAAGCCAGGAAGGUCAGGACCAAAGGCUAUCAGACUUAGGAGGAAGAAAUGCUGUAAAGACAGAGGACGAUGAAGAGGACGAUUCCAACGAAGAGAGAGAAAUUCUUCUUGUUGUUCUCUAAUUCAUUCCAUUCUUAUUCAUUCAAUCAAACACCAUCCAAAUCGAACUCAAAAAGUUACUGAAAAAAGACGCUCCUAUACAUUGAAUGAAGACGCGCAACGUCUCAUGGCCAAAACGCCACUGCUUGUCAGCACAGUUAGGGGGAGGGGGGUGCCACGGUUCGGGAAGGGGUCAAAGGGACCCCCUUCCCCCAGAAAGGGGGGAGGGUUCACCCGACCGGUCACCGCACCGUGCGUGCACUCACUCGAUCAUCCGACAUCAUUCGGUCCACAUCUCAUCCUGGACGUAGGUCUGCCCGACCGCAGGACCAAGUCGGCGGACCUGCCAGGGGGGGCUCGGGGGCCGGGGCACCGGGGGGAGGAGGGGGUCAGAAAGUGAACCGAGUGGACUCGGGCCGCGGCCGUAAAACCAGAUAUAGUAGCGAGUCCGGUCUCGAGUUAUCAACAUGUUAGCUUGUGAACUUACCAGGCCUACUCCGUCCACUUCCACGCCGGUAAGUGUUGACUUGAAGUUCUCUCUGUGCUCUGGUAUUCUGGUUCAAGCCCCCCCCCCCCGCCCCCGAUCCGCGAUGUGGUCCGCCGGUAGUGUAGUGGUUCGUGGUCGGUGCACCCCCGGCGCCGGGUUCCGGGUUCGAGCCCCGGUGCCGAGGAGGAUGAGUGUUGGGGUGGGAAGCCGAUAUCGAUUGGACUGUCCAGCGAAAGGAAGUGUUCAUUAACUAUUGGGAAGAGUAGAAAGUUAGUAUUUACGCGGACAAACAAAGUUUUCUAUCAGUGAUACGUUUGGAGACCCGCACAAGAUUAGAUGUAGAUUUAGAUUUAGAUUUAGAUUUUUAUUCGCAAAGGACCUCUACAUUUUUGAUAAUUUCAUAAAUAAUUACCAAACAAAGCAAAAGAUAAAAAAUAAGAAAAGUGAUGAUAUAUUAAACGGAAACAAUAUAAUUUAAAGAUAAAGUCAAAUUCAUAAUAAUUAAUUUUAAAAGUUGUAAUAAAGAUAGAAAAAUAAAUAAAAUCAAGUUUAAUGAAUUGAGUAAAUAACCAUAACCAUGAGUAGUAACCAUUUUAGAUGAAUGAUCAGUAAAAUUUUACAAAACUCACUUGCACGUAAAAUAAUUUUACGUGCAAGUGAGCUUUUUAAAAUUUUACUGAAAGUUUAUCGUACCUGUGUUUAAUUGGAACGCACGUUUAGAAAACUUUGUUUCUUCGUGUAGAUACCAACUUUCUGUGUUUGAAGUUUUGUUUUGUUUAUUUGUUUUUCUUAGGUCUUAUCUUGAGAUCUUGUGAUUUGAGUGCUCUUGACAAUGAUGGUACAUGAUUAAUUCAUGAGGUAUCACGAGGUUGAUUUUUUCUAAAAAGUUCUCACCAAAAAAACAAUAAAACAAUAACCCUAAAAGAUAGAGUCUCU
rnacentral:lncRNA from 1 species